UACGUAGGGGGCUAGCGUUGUCCGGAUUUAUUGGGCGUAAAGAGCGUGUAGGCGGCCAGGUAGGUCUGCUGUGAAACUCGAGGCUCAACCUCGAGACGUCGGCGGAAACCAUCUGGCUAGAGUCCGGAAGAGGAGAGUGGAAGUUCCUGGUGUAGCGGUGAAAUGCGCAGAUAUCAGGAGGAACACCAAUGGCGAAGGCAGCUCGCUGGGACGUGACUGACGCUGGAGAACGCGAAAGCGUGGGGAGCAAACAGG
rnacentral:rRNA from 1 species